rnacentral:rRNA from 1 species
AGCGAACACUGGCGGCAGGCCUAACACAUGCAAGUCGAACGAAGUCUUCAGACUUAGUGGCGGACGGGUGAGUAACACGUGGGAACGUACCUUUUGGUUCGGAACAACUCAGGGAAACUUGAGCUAAUACCGGAUGAGCCCUUAGGGGGAAAGAUUUAUCGCCGAAAGAGCGGCCCGCGUUAGAUUAGCUAGUUGGUGAGGUAAAGGCUCACCAAGGCUACGAUCUAUAGCUGGUCUGAGAGGAUGAUCAGCCACACUGGGACUGAGACACGGCCCAGACUCCUACGGGAGGCAGCAGUGGGGAAUCUUGCGCAAUGGGCGAAAGCCUGACGCAGCCAUGCCGCGUGAAUGAUGAAGGUCUUAGGAUUGUAAAAUUCUUUUACCAGGGACGAUAAUGACGGUACCUGGAGAAAAAGCCCCGGCUAACUUCGUGCCAGCAGCCGCCGUAAAAC